AGUCAAGUUACGAAAGGGCUAUUGGUGAAUGCCUUGGGAGAAGUGGCCGAUGAAGGACGUAGCAGGCUGCGAUAAGCCUCGGGAAGGUGCCAAGCAACCUUUGAUCCGGGGAUGUCCGAAUGGGGUAACCCACUUUAGCAAACCUAAAGAGCUUAUGGACUGAAUUCAUAGGUCCAUAAGGGGUAAGCGUGUGAACUGAAACAUCUUAGUAGCACGAGGAAAAAAGAACGAAUGUAUAUUCCCCUAGUAGCGGCGAGCGAAAAGGGAAGAGCCUAAACUCUUGUAAGUGUAAGCCUACUGGCGUUGCUUACGAGGGGGUUGAAAGAGAGUUAUAUUCUCGAGCAGUAGAUCGAGUCAGGAGUAAGAAAUCAUUUCCUUAGCAGAAGGUCCCUGGAAAGGGCAACCAUAGAGGGUGACAGUCCUGUAUGCGAAAAGGGGAUGACUCUGAAUAACUUUACUUAAGUACGACGGGACCCGUGAAAUCUUGUCGGAAUCUGCCGGGACCAUCCGGUAAGGCUAAAUACCACUUCUCACCGAUAGUGAACUAGUACCGUGAGGGAAAGGUGAAAAGUCCCCCGGCGAGGGGAGUGAAAUAGUACCUGAAACCAAUAGCUCGCAUAAAAGUUGGAGCCCCCCACUUUGUCCCCCAAGCUUUUGCGCUUGGGAGAUAAAGUGGGGGGUGACAGCGUGCCUUUUGUAGAAUGAGCCAACGAGUUAAUCUCAAUAGCAAGGUUAACCUGCAUAAGCCAGGGGAGCCGGAGCGAAAGCGAGUGCGAAUAGCGCGUUUAAGUUGUUGGGAUUAGACCCGAAACCGGGUGAUCUAACCAUGGCCAGGCUGAAGCGCCCCUAAGAAGGCGUGGAGGGCCGCACCCACCUACGUUGAAAAGUGGGGGGAUGAGCUGUGGUUAGGGGUGAAAUGCCAAUCGAACCCGGAGAUAGCUGGUUCUCUCCGAAAUAUAUUUAGGUAUAGCCUCAUGCGUUCCCCAGAGUGGUAGAGCUACUGAAUGGAUCCGGGCGCUUACGCGUACCGUGUCCAAUUAAACUCCGAAUACUUAUGGGUUAAAGCAUGGGAGUCAGACUGUGACGGCUAAGCGCCAUGGUCGAGAGGGGAAAAGCCCAGACCGUCAGAUAAGGUCCCUAAAUCCAAGCUAAGUGUUAAAGGAAGUGGAGGCACAUAAACAACCAGGAGGUUGGCUUAGAAGCAGCCAUCCUUCAAAGAAAGCGUAACAGCUCACUGGUCGAUGUGUGUCUGCGCCGAAAAUGUAUCGGGGCUCAAGCUUGGUACCGAAGCUACGGAUCCCGACUUGUCGGGAUGGUAGGAGAGCGUUCUGCUCGGCUGUGAAGUUCCACCGGAAGGUGGGGUGGAGCGGGCAGAAGUGAGAAUGUUGGCACGAGUAACGUAACAACGCAGGUGAAAAACCUGCGCGCCGAAAACCUAAGGUUUCCUGGGCUAUGUUAAUCAACUCAGGGUUAGUCGAUCCUAAGGCGAGGCCGAAAGGCGUAGUCGAUGGAUAACAGGUUAAUAUUCCUGUACUACUGUUAGUUCGCCCGAGGCUGACUUUCGCCUUGCGCUAGGAAGGUUGCCCCGACUUGUCGGGGUAAACGCCUGGUUGCAGGGCCAGUCGGCCUAGCUAUGGGGUGACGCAGGUUGGUAGGCCAAGCGAGUAUAGGCAUGCUCGUCUAAGCUUCAAACAGGAUCUCUUUGGCAAAUCCGGGAGGUCUGUCCGAUUUAUCGGACUAACUGUGAGGAGUAACGGAAAGUGUUCCGGCUUGCCGGAGCGCGAUUUGGCUGACCCAAACUGACCGGAAAAACCUCUCUGCGAGAGCUGACAGUAUCCGUACCGCAAACCGACACAGGUAGGUAGGUCGAGUAGACUAAGGCGAUCGAGAGAACCCUCGUUAAGGAACUCGGCAAAACAGCGUCCGUAACUUCGGGAUAAGGACUCCCCGAUGCAAAUCGGGGCGCAGCG
rfam:Candidate division Kazan bacterium RBG_13_50_9 RBG_13_scaffold_377, whole genome shotgun sequence.